UGUAAACUGUAGAAACAUUUUCCAGAUACACUAGACAAAAAAGUCCUUUGGAACAGGGCAUCAUAGAGGGUGAGAAUCCCGUCUUUGGUCUAAGUAGUUGUCUAUUGUGAUAUGUUUUCAAAGAGUCAGGUUGUUUGGGAAUGCAGCCUAAAUUGGGUGGUAAAUCUCACCUAAAGCUAAAUAUUUGCGAGAGACCGAUAGCGAACAAGUACCGUGAGGGAAAGAUGAAAAGAACUUUGAAAAGAGAGUUAAACAGUAUGUGAAAUUGUUAAAAGGGAACCGUUUGGAGCCAGAUUGGCUUGAUUGUAAUCAACCUAGAAUUCGUUUUGGGUGCACUUGCAGUCUAUGCCUGCCAACGACAGUUUGAUUUGGAGGAAAAAAUUAAUAGGAAUGUGGCCUUUCGAGGUGUUAUAGCUUAUUAUCAUACUCUGGAUUGGACUGAGGAACGCAGUGAAUGCCUUUAGGCAAGAUUGCUGGGCGCUUUCGCUAAUAAAUGUUAGAAUU
rnacentral:rRNA from 1 species